rnacentral:misc_RNA from 1 species
GAUGAAAACUGAAGCUUUCAUUGGAUUUCAGUAACAACAAUGGAUACUCCAGAAUGAGAUGCCAGACCUUCGGGCUUCAAAGUAGUAUUAAUACAUUGGACAAAAAUAAAGGAACUGCUCAGGUAGUAUCAGAUUGUGGGUCAUGAGGCAUCUUUUCUGUUGGCAAGUUACAAAAGAUUUAUUAUAAAACUACGUGAAUUCAGCAAACAUCCUGAUAAAAAAAAAAUCCCAAUAACUUUGUUGAGCACCGAAUCCAUGAAAGUGUGAUCAUGAUCAUAAAUCAUCUCAGAUUUGUAAGUUUCCUCUCCAACAACAAAGAAGUUACUCACCAAACAGAUUCUCAGAGACAAAUCUGCAUAUUUCUCAAACCAUAAUUCACAAAAAGAGAGAGAGAGAGAGAGA